rnacentral:rRNA from 1 species
GGGGAAUCUUCCGCAAUGGACGAAAGUCUGACGGAGCAACGCCGCGUGAGUGAUGACGGCCUUCGGGUUGUAAAGCUCUGUUAAUCGGGACGAAUGGUUCUUGUGCGAAUAGUGCGAGGAUUUGACGGUACCGGAAUAGAAAGCCACGGCUAACUACGUGCCAGCAGCCGCGGUAAUACGUAGGUGGCAAGCGUUGUCCGGAAUUAUUGGGCGUAAAGCGCGCGCAGGCGGAUUGGUCAGUCUGUCUUAAAAGUUCGGGGCUUAACCCCGUGAUGGGAUGGAAACUGCCAAUCUAGAGUAUCGGAGAGGAAAGUGGAAUUCCUAGUGUAGCGGUGAAAUGCGUAGAUAUUAGGAAGAACACCAGUGGCGAAGGCGACUUUCUGGACGAAAACUGACGCUGAGGUGCGAAAGCCAGGGGAGCGAACGGGAUUAGAUACCCCGGUAGUCCUGGCCGUAAACGAUGGGUACUAGGUGUAGGAGGUAUCGACCCCUUCUGUGCCGGAGUUAACGCAAUAAGUACCCCGCCUGGGGAGUACGACCGCAAGGUUG